AUUCGGAAACUUUUCUUUUUACACAAAAAUGGACCUACGAACACUCCGGUUGAGUUUGAAGAACAAGAAAAACAGUAGAGGUCUACCCGGUACCUAUGGUUAAACAUGAUGAUCAUAAGUGCAUGCAUCAUUUUGCAGAUUCUCAUCCAGGAUGAUGCAGCUCUACAAUUUCCAUGGAGGUGAUUGAUGAUGAUAAACAAUUGGUGAAGUAGGCCUAAUAGAACAGUGAUAGGACCACAAAGAGAAAUACAACCUACAGCAGUUAUAUGAGACUGGUGUAACAGAUGUUUUCAUUCAAGAAAUCCAACAAAUUGAAGAGUGACUUAGCUUAGGAAGCACUUGAUAAAGAUGGAAAAGUUUUUUUUUUUCAAGUCCAAUUUUUUUUUAUUUAUUGUUAUCACAACCCCAAAUUCAUGAAGUAUGAAAUUUCCUGUUGAUUUUCAUUAAAACUGAUUGCAAAAGGAGAAGCUAUAAACAUACAAAUAGGAGCGGCGAAGUGAAGUUGAAAGUGGGGGGGGGGGGCACAGGGAAAAUGCUGUAUUAUGUGAAAUUUUUAAGAAGUUGCGAGAGAGCAAAAUUUUGACAUUUUUAAAAAGAAAAUCCAAUUUUGUGAUAGAUUUCGACAAAAUCUUCAGAAUGAUAUAUUUCACCCUUUUUUGGGGGGGCAAGAGUCCUUUAAGCCCCCCCCCCUCCCCCUCCAUCUGUAGUGUACGAAACUGCUUAUCUACCCCCACUCACAUGAAUUAUUAAACUUAAUGCACAAAUGAUUUCCUUAUUGUUUUCUUGUUUCAAAGGGCACUCGUCAUGGUGACCAUAAAACGGGUCCUCAGGUGAAAGGGGCACAGAACAAGUUCUUUAGGAGCACUUUUCUUUGGUAAAAGGGGGCAGUUAUUCGAGAAAGCUAGGGCACUUACAAGAAGGCGAGGGGGCACUUUUUAACACAUAAAACGCGCCCUCAGAUGAAAGGGCACAAAACACGUUCGGGGGGGCAUUUUUUGGUAAAAAUUUGCAUACAAGGAAGAGCACUUGGUAACACCUAAAACAGGUUCUCGUCAGGUGAAAGGGACACAGUACACGUUCGUGAGGGGGCAUUUUUCUUACAUAAAAUUAAAGGCACUUUUCAGUGCUUCAAAAAGUAGGGGGAAAUGUGCCCCCCAGGAUCGCUGCCCCUGCAUACAAAAAACAUUUUCGUUCGAUCCAAAGUAUUAACAUACGCUUAAGAAAAAAAGUAAGGCUAAAUCCUCUGAUAAUGUGAUAUUUUUUCUGGCUAUUAAUAAAAUUCACAACUAACC